GAUGAACGCUGGCGGCGUGCUUAACACAUGCAAGUCGAACGGAAAGGCUCCUGCUUGCAGGGGUACUCGAGUGGCGAACGGGUGAGUAACACGUGGUGAUCUGCCCUGCACUUCGGGAUAAGCCUGGGAAACUGGGUCUAAUACCGGAUAGGACGAUGGUUUGGAUGCCAUUGUGGAAAGUUUUUUCGGUGUGGGAUGAGCUCGCGGCCUAUCAGCUUGUUGGUGGGGUAAUGGCCUACCAAGGCGUCGACGGGUAGCCGGCCUGAGAGGGUGUACGGCCACUUUGGGACUGAGAUACGGCCCAGACUCCUACGGGAGGCAGCAGUGGGGAAUAUUGCACAAUGGGCGCAAGCCUGAUGCAGCGACGCCGCGUGGGGGAUGACGGCCUUCGGGUUGUAAACUCCUUUCGCUAGGGACGAAGCGCAAGUGACGGUACCUGGAGAAGAAGCACCGGCUAACUACGUG
rnacentral:rRNA from 1 species